rnacentral:lncRNA from 1 species
GGAGCAGAGGGAGGGGAUAGGGGAAGGGGGCGGGGAAAACAGAGGAGGAGCUGGAGGGGCGGGAGGAGACCAGGGGGGUCUCCAUCAGGCCCCCCUUCCCAACGCCCUCCCACAACCUGUGCAAGCACCCCCAGCCCCAGCCUGGUCCCACUGCUGGGCGUCUCCUGACGGUGGCUCCAGGGAACUGGGAUCUAGUCCUCAUGCCCAGGGUUCCCUCGAGUUACCCUCAGGAACCCACAGCAGGCCUGGGGUCUUGGGGCAGUUCCUAGGCCUCCUGGGUCCCCGAACUGGGGACCUCGUUGACUGCCACUGGUCUGGAAGAGACCCACCAAGGUCAGCCUCUCCACGACACACUCCCCCAUUCCCGCCUCAGUUUAAGCUCUGGCCCAGGAAGCAGACAGCUGUCCCGCAGGAAGUCAGGUGCGCUGGACCGCCGAGGUCCACUCCUCCGGAUCUCUCCCAAGAAUCCGGCGCUGGCCUGUGGUGCCCAGGUGCUGGGGACUGCACCCUUCCCCACACACACGCACACGCACACAUGCACACCUCGCAGGCUCCCCCGAGGCUGGCCAUGUCCAGGUCACCUCCCUCCCUAGGGACUUCCCAUGCCUCCUGUCUCCCCCAGGUCUCCUUGAGAAAGCUCCUGGCCCCCCAAGGCACCUGGAAUUUAACUCCAGGGUGGGAGGAUUCCCUGGAGGACCUGAGGCGACACACCCUGGGGGAGACUGGAUUCAAGAGGGAGCGACACUGUCCCCCAGAGAUGGGAUCUGUGACAGGGAUGCUGCACACGGCUCUGCCUCAACUUGGAGCACACAGGCUCAGUCAAGGACACGAGGGCAGGAAGGGCAGAAAGUGCAUGGUUGCCCACAGGAUGUCUUGUGCUGCGUGGCCCCGUGGCUAAUCUGCCUGACCUCUCCACCCUCAGCCUGAGUGGGAACCCACCGAGUCCCCCGUGCCCACCAGCAAGUCCCUGUAAGACUCGGGCAGAGUUAGUUCACUACAGGUCUGAAGUCUGCCUGGAGGGAGCAGCCCCCUGCAGGCC